rnacentral:rRNA from 1 species
GAGUACCUACGGGGGGCAGCAGUGGGGAAUAUUGGACAAUGGGGGGAACCCUGAUCCAGCGACGCCGCGUGAGUGAAGAAGUAUUUCGGUAUGUAAAGCUCUAUCAGCAGGGAAGAAAGAAAUGACGGUACCUGACUAAGAAGCACCGGCUAACUACGUGCCAGCAGCCGCGGUAAUACGUAGGGGGCAAGCGUUAUCCGGAUUUACUGGGUGUAAAGGGAGCGUAGACGGCAAUGCAAGUCUGGAGUGAAUAGCGAGGGCCCAACCACCGGACUGCUCUGGAAACCGAA